rnacentral:lncRNA from 1 species
AUGGAGUUUAAUUACAAUAGGAGGAAGAAAGGAAUUAGAGAUAGAGAGAGAGAAAAAGGGAGAGAAAGGAAUAGGGCUUAAAUACCCCAUCUGUUUAGGCUGGGCCAAAAGGCCCAAGCCCUUAGAUAGCUGGGGCAAAGAAAAGAGAUCAGUCCCUAUCACUCACGUGACCAAAAUGGAGAAACAGUCUCAGAGGCCCCCACCUUCAGCUUCCUUCAGAGCAAGCUUCUCCGAGUCCACUGCAAUCACUCCGACCAAACUCCUCAACCCCCCUCCAGUCUUCAGACCCUCCUAUCUUUAAGGAAACCAUGGAGUUUAAUUACAAUAGGAGCAAGAAAGGAAUUAGAGAUAUAUAUAGAGAGAGAAAGGGGAGAGAAGGGAAUAGGGCUUAAAUACCCCUUCUGUUUAGGCUGGGCCAAAAGGCCCAAGCCCUUAGAUAGCUGGGGCAAAGAAAAGAGAUCACUCCCUUUCACUCACGUGUCCAAAAUGGAGAAACAGUCUCAGAGGCCCCCACCUUCAGCUUCCUUCAGAGCAAGCUUCCUCAGAGCCCAGGAACCACACCGACCAAAAACUCAAUCCUCCCUCAGUCUCCAGACCCUCCUAUCUUUAAGGAAACCAUCCAAGUUGCCUCCCCUCAGUCCUCACAUCUACCAAUCACUCUUCAUCAAUUUCCCUGUCAAUGGAGGCUCUCGCUUAACCCAGGACCGCCCAGAGGUUUCUGGCUUUUGCACAUGUCUGUUGAAGGUCAUAUUUUUCAAAUGAUUAAAUCUUUACUCCUUUGUUACAGCCCUUUCUAAAUCCUGUUAACUUGAGUAUGGUAGAGAUUGGAAUAAUUAAAUUUUGAUCUAGGCUGCAGCCCUUACUCAAUCCUAUUAGGACUGAAUAGGGUGGAGAUUUAUUCCAAGUAUCUCCAUUGUAUCAAUUCUAAAAUCAAUCAAGACUCAAAGAAAUUCCUGUUCUAUGCUUAAGCAUAGGUCAAAGUCCUUUCCAUUGUUCAGCAAAGGGUUUCUGUCCUAAAGUAAUCUUAAGAAGGGAAGAGAAGGAACCUCCCAUGCCAAUGGGGUUCCCAUUCCAAUAGACUAUCAGUAAGAAAUUUUCCACAUAUGAAAUAUCCCAAUGGUGAAAUUUUCAACAAUUAUAAGUCUAAGGAAAUUUGAGGUUUACACCUCCCUUGUGCCCUCCCCACUCCUGGAUCUAAUAAACACUUCCACUGGGUUAUACA